GACGAACGCUGGCGGCGUGCUUAACACAUGCAAGUCGAACGAAGAGCGACGGAAGCUUGCUUCUAUCAAUCUUAGUGGCGAACGGGUGAGUAACGCGUAAUCAACCUGCCCUUCAGAGGGGGACAACAGUUGGAAACGACUGCUAAUACCGCAUACGAUCUAAUCUCGGCAUCGAGGAUAGAUGAAAGGUGGCCUCUAUAUGUAAGCUAUCACUGAAGGAGGGGAUUGCGUCUGAUUAGCUAGUUGGAGGGGUAACGGCCCACCAAGGCGAUGAUCAGUAGCCGGUCUGAGAGGAUGAACGGCCACAUUGGGACUGAGACACGGCCCAGACUCCUACGGGAGGCAGCAGUGGGGAAUCUUCCGCAAUGGACGAAAGUCUGACGGAGCAACGCCGCGUGAGUGAUGACGGCCUUCGGGUUGUAAAGCUCUGUUAAUCGGGACGAAAGGCCUUCUUGCGAACAGUUAGAAGG
rnacentral:rRNA from 1 species